UACGGAGGGGGCUAGCGUUGUUCGGAAUUACUGGGCGUAAAGCGCACGUAGGCGGCGAUUUAAGUCAGAGGUGAAAGCCCGGGGGCUCAACCCCGGAAUAGCCUUUGAGACUGGAUUGCUAGAAUCUUGGAGAGGCGAGUGGAAUUCCGAGUGUAGAGGUGAAAAUUCGUAGAUAUUCGGAAGAACACCAGUGGCGAAGGCGGCUCGCUGGACAAGUAUUGACGCUGAGGUGCGAAAAGCGUGGGGAGCAACAGG
rnacentral:rRNA from 1 species